GACGAACGCUGGCGGCGUGCUUAACACAUGCAAGUCGAACGGAGUGGCGAACGGGUGAGUAACACGUGGGUGAUCUGCCUUGCACUUCGGGAUAAGCUUGGGAAACUGGGUCUAAUACCGGAUAGUGCAAGAUGAGCUCGCGGCCUAUCAGCUUGUUGGUGGGGUAAUGGCCUACCAAGGCGUCGGCGGGUAGCCGGCCUGCGAGGGUGUAUGGGCACAUGGGGACUUGGGUACGGCCCAGGCUGCGACGGGGGGCAGCAGUGGGGAAUAUUGCACAAUGGGCGGAAGCCUGAUGCGGCGACGCCGCGGGGGGGAUGAAGGCCUUCGGGUUGUAAACUCCUUUCGACAGGGACGCGGUACCUGUAUAAGAAGCACCGGCUAACUACGUGCCAGCAGCCGCGGUAAUUC
rnacentral:rRNA from 1 species